UACAGAGGUCCCAAGCGUUGUUCGGAUUCAUUGGGCGUAAAGGGUGCGUAGGCGGCGUGGUAAGUCGGGUGUGAAAUCUCGGGGCUUAACUCCGAAACUGCAUUCGAUACUGCCGUGCUUGAGGACUGGAGAGGAGACUGGAAUUUACGGUGUAGCGGUGAAAUGCGUAGAUAUCGUAAGGAAGACCAGUGGCGAAGGCGGGUCUCUGGACAGUUCCUGACGCUGAGGCACGAAGGCCAGGGGAGCAAACGGG
rnacentral:rRNA from 1 species